UGAGGAAUAUUGCACAAUGGGCGCAAGCCUGAUGCAGCGACGCCGCGUGUGGGAUGAAGGGGCUACGCCUCGUAAACCACUGUAGCCCGGGACGAAAAACGCCUUAGAGGCGUUAGACGGUACCGGGAAAGUAAGGGUCGGCUAACUACGUGCCAGCAGCCGCGGUAAUACGUAGGACCCAAGCGUUAUCCGGAUUCAUUGGGUUUAAAGGGUGCGCAGGCGGAUUGGUAAGUCAGGGGUGAAAUCCCACAGCUCAACUGUGGAACUGCCUUUGAUACUGUCAGUCUAGAGUAUAGUUGAAGUUGGCGGAAUGUGUCAUGUAGCGGUGAAAUGCUUAGAUAUGACACAGAACACCGAUCGCGAAGGCAGCUAGCUAAGCUAUAACUGACGCUCAUGCACGAAAGCGUGGGGAUCAAACA
rnacentral:rRNA from 1 species